GGAAUAUAUAUAAUGCUUUUAGCGACAUUGAAAUAACCAAAUUCCUUCAUUUUCUUUCAAUAAACAUAUCAGCUAAAAAAUGGAGAGAACAUAAAAAUCAGUAUCACGUGAACGCAGGAAAUGCGUUCAAUAUGUUGAAUAAGAGUUAUGAUCAUACAAAUAAAACAAUCCAUUACGAUUAAUUGAUUAUAACUUACAAGUCCCUUAAGUGAGUGUUUAGCAUGUUGUAUUGCGUUAUAAUAUAUUUUAUUAUUUAAUAUAGGGGUGUAUUGCAUUAAUAUUGUAUUAUAUUGAUAUUACAGUGUUUGGUAUUAUAUUGUACUAUAUUAAUUUUUAGUAUAUUAUGUUUCGUGUUGCACUGCAUUGUUUUUAAUUUUUUGUUAAAUAAGUAAAAUCAUAUCUUAUAAAAGAACAUAUUGACUAUUAUGAUAAUUUAGCAAAAUACUUAAUACAAAACUACUCAAUUAGCUUAAUUUUUUAGUAUAAUAUGUAAUAUAUGUAAUAAGAAUAUUAAAUUUUAUAACUGUGGAUAAACAUAUCAUCUGCUUUUUUCUACACUUCUCAAAUAUAUAUUUCAUCUAAAAUAAAGCUCCAACCAAAUAAAAUAAAUAACCUUUAAUUUAACAAAUACCUCAACAAAUAAAUAUUUAAACAUAUGCUGUAUUCAAAAACCAAAACCGGAACUCCUAACUCACUCUACUUGCUUAGAAUACGAUGCCAACCAAACAGCUUUUCCCAUCAUAAAAUUAAAUUUGCUGUAUUAAUUAUUUGUGCUCAACAAGUCAGAUGCAGUUUAUUUGUAGGACGCACGUUUCUACAAAGAAAUGAAUAAUCUUUUCUUUAUAAACAUAUUUAAAAUAGACUGAGGAUUACUCUUUUUCCCUUGAUCUCUUAAGGACUUCAAAAUUCAUCGAAUUCUUCCAAAGCCAUGUCCUUCUUUUAGAAAUGUAAAACAUAUCAGCUUGAGUGCAAGAUUAUUCCAUUUCCGUACCGCCAUAACUAUCCUGUUAAAUCAUAUCAAAUUAGUUGUCAAAAAAUACCUCAAACACCACUAUAACCAAAAAAACUAAUAAGUAAUCACAUAAAUAAAGGGUUAAGAAAUAAGGAAUUUUACAAACCUUUGAUUACGAUGUCGAAAAGUUUUGUUCUAGCCUUUGCAAGUCUCAUUUCAAUCAUCAACCCCCACGAUCCAAGCAAAACAUGCAACAUAAAAUGCUAAAAGUGGAUGGCUAUAUUUACCCAUGAAUACAAAUAAAAGACGAUACCAAGCAAAAUCCACAUGGAGACAGCUUUAGGUUAAAGGCCCACUCCAAAAAAUGUAAAGCCACACAAACCUUCUCCUAGCUCUCGGUUGAUUGAUUGAUUGGUUUAUUCUUAUAUAGGAAAAAUGGAACUUCUAUCAUUUGGAGCAAUUGGUUUCCCUACUUUAUAUAUGCUUUAUUAUGUUAGAAAAAAAUAUUUCGUGCAUAUAUAAUGGCAAAAAAUAAGUCAUAGUUUAAGGGUUUAAAUUUUUAGCUCGCUGAACAAACAAUUAAAACAACAUCUCCACGACUCCAACUACAGAAAUAACUACAUUCCAUGAUCCUGUUUCAUUUCCUUCUUGAAAGGGUUACAACAUUUUCUCAAUUUUAAUUUCUUCUUUUUGGCUCUGUAAUGCGAUGCUACGUAAACCCUACCCCUCCUCCGGGAUUGGUUUAUGGGUUUGACCACAUGAAUUUAUAAGCUAAUGUAAUGCAGCAUGUGUUGAAUUUGGAGCCAAACAUGAGUCAAACAUGAGUCACUAUUAAGUUAAGGCAUAAUCGUAUUUUUAUACUUUGUUAUGCCAAACACACCCUGAGCUGCUAUGAUUAUCUAUCUAUAUUUCUAAGAAUUAUUCACAAUAUUUUUAUAAUCCUUUGCUAUUAACACUUUACUUAAUGACUACAUUCAUAAUGAUAGACCAUGACUCAAUCUUUAGCCGAGUGGUUGUGAGAGUAGCAGUUUGAUUUCUCGUAAGGGGAUUAAAAUAUCAUCUCUCGAUUAAAUAAUUCAGUGAAAGUUGUCAUCUCCUAUCAGGUGGAGUAAAUAUCCCUCAAGUAUUAGUGAUAGUAGAAAUUUGGAUUGUUCUCUAUAGAUUUGAUGUAGGAUAGUUUUAGUAGGCAUAUGACAUUUAGUUCUUUGAUUAUAAUAUAUGUAUAUAAAAAAAAAACACACACACAUUGAUAAAUUAACAGUGGUUGCCCUAUGAUAAUUUUUCACUUCUUAUGAAGUUAUUCUUUAUCCGCACAAAUGAAAGCAUAACUAACAAAGGAAUUGGGCUUUUCUUUGUUUUAAAAUUAUUAGGUUUAAAUUUAAGAGUACUGAUAUUUGACCCUCAUAAUUUAUCUCAUCAGUCCUCACUUUCUAAUUAAUUUCAUUUAUUUUCAAAUAUACUCUCACUAAAUAUGAAAAUUUAAUUAAAAAAUAACUUUUUUUUUUCAAUUUCUCAUUGAAACUCUUUCUCUAUCAAACAUCGCCAUCUCCAUUCUCCAAUCACCAGUAUCACCUAUCUUCAACUAAUUCAUUUUUACAAUUUUUAAUUUUUGAUCAGCACCUUGCUAUUGUAACCGGGGCAUUAUUUGCUUCCAUAUAUCAUCUUUGCAGUUCAUUUUCCUGCAAAAUUUAUGCAGCAAUAAUUGAAAGUUAAUGCCAAAACAUAAAUAACUUCGACAGCUAAUACAAACGACAUACUUGACAUCUUUUUUCGUCCAAAAUUAGCAACAUAAAUUGGGUAACAAAAUUUCGCUCUUUUCUGCCACUGACAGUGUGUCUUUUUCAAAUUCUGAUACUGCCAAAAUCUUGGUAUAAGUCAUCGCCAUACAAAUUAUGGUUUAUACUUAGUUUUUUCAUGAAGAUAGGUGUCAUCCACCAUUGUCGCUCUUAGUCUUCGCCUAGACCUAGCCACAACAGCAUCCAGUGACCGUCCAACCAACCACUGCAGUCAUUGCCGUUCGCCAUCGCUGCUGUUGCUGCUCCGCGUCGUCCUCCAUUCAUGAAAGUUGAAUCAAAAGCUUUUUCCAUGAGUGAAAAUGACAACUUCUGCAUCAGAAGCCAAUCAUUAUUAAACAAAAUGAUGUCAAAAUUGACUUCAUCAAAUCCAAAUUGCCUUCUUCACCAUUUAUUUUUUCCCAACAACGAUUAGCAUCAAAUGCAACAAAAUGAUGACGGUGGAUUGGUGAUGUCCCAAGAGAGGGAAAAAAAUAAUUUUUUAAUUUUUUAAAUUUUAAGAAGGGUAAUUUUAGAAUUUUAUUAAAAAUAAGGGUCGAAAAUAUCCUUAAUGGGUAAAAUAUCAUUAUUUUAAGAGUAUUUUUACUUGAAGGAUUAAGUAAUUAGAAUUCGGAAUGAAAAUGAUUGAUAGUGUUUACUUUUUAAAAUAGAACGAAGAAUGAGAAUAAAACGCGUGGAGCCCAUAUGUUUUUGGGAUUAAGAAAUGAAAAUUUAAUUCAUAUGGCAAGUAGAGAAUCAAGUUUCAUAAUUUUUAAAUU
rnacentral:lncRNA from 1 species